GAUGAACGCUGGCGGCGUGCCUAAUACAUGCAAGUCGAGCGAACGGACGAGAAGCUUGCUUCUCUGAUGUUAGCGGCGGACGGGUGAGUAACACGUGGAUAACCUACCUAUAAGACUGGGAUAACUUCGGGAAACCGGAGCUAAUACCGGAUGAUAUUUUGAACCGCAUGGUUCAAAAGUGAAAGACGGUCUUGCUGUCACUUAUAGAUGGAUCCGCGCUGCAUUAGCUAGUUGGUAAGGUAACGGCUUACCAAGGCAACGAUGCAUAGCCGACCUGAGAGGGUGAUCGGCCACACUGGAACUGAGACACGGUCCAGACUCCUAAGGGAGGCAGCAGUAGGGAAUCUUCCGCAAUGGGCGAAAGCCUGACGGAGCAACCCCGCGUGAGUGAUGAAGGUCUUCGGAUCGUAAAACUCUGUUAUUAGGGAAGAACAUAUGUGUAAGUAACUGUGCACAUCUUGACGGUACCUAAUCAGAAAGCCACGGCUAACUACGUG
rnacentral:rRNA from 1 species